UACGGAGGGUGCAAGCGUUAUCCGGAUUCACUGGGUUUAAAGGGUGCGUAGGUGGGCAGGUAAGUCAGUGGUGAAAUCUCCGGGCUUAACCCGGAACUGCCGUUGACACUAUUUGUCUUGAAUAUUGUGGAGGUAAGCGGAAUAUGUCAUGUAGCGGUGAAAUGCUUAGAUAUGACAUAGAACACCAAUUGCGAAGGCAGCUUACUACACAACGAUUGACGCUGAGGCACGAAAGCGUGGGGGAUCAAACAGG
rnacentral:rRNA from 1 species